rnacentral:lncRNA from 1 species
AGUUGUGGAAAACUGCUUUAAAUGUCAUAGAGCACUCAGAAGGAAUUCAUAAAUGACCUCAUAAAGAAGUCCACUGUGGUUUCCCUGCAGAGGUGGGAAUAGAAUCAGAGUGCUAAGGAUUGAGGGAUUAAGAGGAGGUGAUUGUAUUAUUCCUCUUUUCAGAUAAUGGAGAGAGAGAAGAGAACAGCAGUAGCCGUUGCCAGAAAUAUUGAGCAAGGCGGAUUUAUUAGAUGAAGAUAUCAAAAUACUUUCCAUUGAGGAAACAGGUUGGAGGUGGGAGGCUGUAACCAUGCUUGAUUUUGUACCACCCUAACCUUUGCUUGAUCCAGGUUCCAGUCCAAUAUGCACCAUUCAGCCUGGUUGCAGCAUGUUAAGCAGCCCUGGAGGCAGCAGUUGUUGGUGGCAUAUAUAAUGAGUGCUGGGUGUUAAGGAAGCAAUGGUGAAGGAGAGACACCCUCCCGACCCUCAUGGUGCUUGCAGCCUAGUGGAGCUAUGAAAAGAUAGGCAAGUGAGUCCUAUGAUUGGAGAAGUAAUGAGAAGUAAUGAGAAGCGUCUUCUAAGCAUAGGGGUAAAGACUGCAAAGACCCUGAAGGGAGAAAGUAAUGGCCAUUCUGAGAACUGAAAGUUUGCACAGUGCACAGAGGGCAUGAAGAACGAAGGAAAGAGAUUUUUUUUUUUUUUUUUUUGCCCAAGAUGGCAAGUUGCUUAAAACCUAAAGCUCCUUUCAAUUCUUUACAAUCCAAGAUUAUAUGGAAUGGACUGGGAACAAAGAGAGGGACUGGCAUUUAAAGUCUUUUAUACACUUUGGAACAAAUGUUAUUCUCCAUUCAUCCUGACACUAAAUUGGUUAGCCAAACCCAAAGAUCUACUAAUAAUCCUGCUUUGGCAUGGGAGAAUGAGUGAGAUAAGGAGGCAAUAGAGGAGAUGAAUCGACAAAUGGAAGGAAUAGAAUUCUGGUUGAUGUCCUUGUCUCUAAGCUGUAGCAGCAAGUAUUUAUCCUAAUCAUGUGGUGUUAGCACGGAGAUGAGAAAGAGAGAAAGACAACAUCAUGCUUUGCUGUCUGUGUGUGAACUGAGUAACAGCUGUGAAGGAUCAGUCACCAAAAGACUUUGAAAGAAGAGGCUUGAUUGGUCACGGUAAUGAUGCUCCCCUGGCCAUGGAAGUUUAAUUGGGAGAAAAGAACAUCUGCUUAUACGAAAACAUAUUAUAUUCAGCCAUCCCUGCCCUGACUUUGGCCUUUAAAAACAGUGGCAUUAAUUAUCUCAACAAAUGAAUCUUCGGGAUAAAAAUAAUCUAAAUAUUAUUUUACGCUUACUACAUAUUUGCAACGUGCUAAGCUCUUUAUGGUUGCUACCACAAAAAACAUUUAUAAUAUGAGACUUCACAAGGUUAGGAACAGGCUUCACUUCAUUGUGAUGUGUGUAAGGUGACAGAGGACAUAUAACGAAUACGUGGAAGAACUAGGAAUUUGACCUUAGCUUCCAGACAUUUUGAGGAGGAUACACUAUGUCCAUCUUGCUUUCCUAUCAAGAAAAGUAUACCCAGUUUGUGCAGUAGCCCUGUACCAACAGAUACAUUACAGCAGGUUGUUUCCGUAUUUUGGCUAUUGUGAAUAGUGCUGCAAUAAACAUGGAAGUGCUGAUAUAUCUUUGAGAUCUUGACUUCAAACAAAAGAAGAAAAUCUUGCAAUAUAUGACAACACGGAUUAACCUGGAGGACAUUGUGCUUAGUGAAGUUAGCCAGUCACAGACUGACAAGUACUGCACGAUUCCACUUAUGAAGACUACAGUUCCUAUCUUCACAGGUGGCUGUUAGCUCUAAAUGAACUCAUUUAUUUUGAAAGCAUGAUUUAAAGUAUAGUUUUAAACUAUAAGCAUUUCAGAAGUGAUGACCCAUGACUCAAAUCUCAAAAAUAAAUGCUACAGUUCACAGUUGGAAUAUGGACACAAGAAAAAUAAUAGAUGAUGCCACUGAAAGGUAAACAUACCAUUCUGACAUGCAUGAAAAUGAAACGACAAAUUGAUACACGCAGUGCUUGGAAUGGAUGGAGUCCUUCUAAUGAGUGAUUACCUGUGGUAUAACUAUAUUGAUUGUGUUUGUACAUGUCAAAUGGGGCUGGCGAGGAUGAACUUGAAGAAAUCAAUCUUGGAACCUGCUAGGACAGCAGCCUCCUGGUUUCACAGUACUAAAUCAUGACUUCAAAAUUUUGAAGUAAAAGAAAACUGCAAAACUUUGUAAAGGUACCAGUCUCUUCCUGACACUAUUUGCCUUGGCAAAAGAUUCACUGUCAACUUAAAAGACUAACAUGUGCUCAGAUGAUGAUUUGUGGAGGACAGAUAAUUAUGAGUACAUUUAGAAAUACACACUCUUCCAAACCCUGCUCUUUCCAUAUAAUGAAGUUAUUUAUUUCUAUUUUUUAUUUAUUUUUCUAAUAAUUACAAACAUACUUUGGAGACCCACAUUCCUGUAUUAUUCUUUCAACAUACUGAAGAAGAGUUAUUUCUAUGCUUCUUUCUAUGUGUUGGGCUUAAGAUUUAUUAGAAGGAAUGUGUAAAAACAAAGGCAGCAAAGUUUCUAUUUUUAUUGGGAGUCACUCCCGGAGUAAGUGGGGAUAGUUGUGCACACACACACACACACAUUCAUGCACAAAGAAAGAGUGAUCAAGUGUAUAACACACUUUUAGCAGUGUUUUGCUGGAAGAAUAAAGUAUAACUCCUUGUCCGCCCUUUUAUUAUACUGGGGUUCACACUAAGAGAGUCUGAGGACCUGUGGAACUCCCAUUUGCAUGAAAUAACUUUUGCAUCUAUUCUGGAGGAAAACUUCCUAAGGCAGAUUUGGACAGAAAAUUGCUAUCAGCGCAAAUAAAACAAUGCAAAGCCUACUCCGGGGAACGUUGCUCUGCCACCACUACUGAAAUGGGUCAUCCCCUUGGUUUCUGAAUAAAGAAUUAUGAAACCUGGGGCUAGAAUGCUCAGGGAGGAAUUUACCAAUCCAAAUCUUCCCCUUAUGGUAGAGAACAAACUUUCAAGGUUUGUUCUCCACUGUAAGUGUGCGAGGGCUGUUAGGGACCGUAAUAUGGCUGCCGGAGACUGGUGUGUGUACCUCCUUGACUGUACGUCUCAUUUCCAGUUAUGAUUUUACAAUCAUCUCUUUCUCAACCUUUGCUUUUAAAUAUAGGAAGGUACGGCUCACCAUGGAGCGGACAUUUUCUUCAGGAGCGGUACGGUGUCUAAGAUAUGCAGAGGUUGUAUUCUAGUCCUAUAACUCAAUUCUCAAACACAUGGCUUUUAGCCAGGGAUAUCCUAAAGGAAAAUUACACUAUAUGCAACCCCUCCUUACUCCUCAAAUAUUAUCUAUAUUAAACACAGCUGAAAUUUGAGAGUGUCCUUACAGGUGAAAAUUUAACAAUUUAACAAAAGGACACUGCUGAAUGUGUGGGGACAAAGGAAGGAUGAAUCUUUCAUCAUGACAAAAGACUACUUGCCACAUUCUCCCUUAACUUAGAAAAACA